GGAAGCCCUAAGAACUCAAGGGAGAUAGGGGUAGCAGGGGCAUUUCCCUGGAUGCCUGGAGCAUGGAGGGUGCGAAAUAAGGAAGCUUUCCUACCCCGUUGAUGAGCUGAAGUUGAUUCCGCACGGGGAAGGAAAGGGACAGGAAGCAUAAUUGGAUGUGCAAGCCUGUGGUUCUUCAGGAAGUUAACACGUGGAACUAACACUGUUGGAUGCUGCUGAACUCUCAGAAAAAUCAUCAUUGACAUCCAACACCAGCACUGGAAUGUUCAUCAGAGCCUCAAAGUGGAGCCUACAAGAAGCAUGAACGUUUGGGGGGACAGAAAAAAAGAAAACUUGAGUCCAGUUUCACAUACUCACAAGUCUUACUCAGAGAACAGAUCUAAAUUCAACAUGACUUUUCAAAGAAACUGCAUGU
rnacentral:antisense_RNA from 1 species